rnacentral:rRNA from 1 species
UACGGAGGGAGCUAGCGUUGUUCGGAAUUACUGGGCGUAAAGCGCACGUAGGCGGCUUUGUAAGUUAGAGGUGAAAGCCCGGGGCUCAACCCCGGAAUUGCCUUUAAGACUGCAUCGCUUGAAUCCAGGAGAGGUGAGUGGAAUUCCGAGUGUAGAGGUGAAAUUCGUAGAUAUUCGCAAGAACACCAGUGGCGAAGGCGGCUCACUGGCCCGGUACUGACGCUGAGGUGCGAAAGCGUGGGGAGCAAACAGGG